GGAGAGUAGCUCAGAGGCAAAGCACCGGCUUUGAAUGCAGAAGGUCUGGGUUCAAUCCUCACCAUCUCCA